rnacentral:rRNA from 1 species
GAUGAACGCUAGCUACAGGCUUAACACAUGCAAGUCGAGGGGCAGCGGGUUGAAAGCUUGCUUUCAAUGCCGGCGACCGGCGCACGGGUGCGUAACGCGUAUCAAACCUGCCUCAUACUCGGGGGUAGCCUUGCGAAAGUAAGAUUAAUACCCGAUGUUGUUGCUUUCUCGCAUGGGAGAGUAACCAAAGAUUUAUCGGUAUGAGAUGGUGAUGCGUCCGAUUAGGUAGUAGGCGGGGUAACGGCCCACCUAGCCUUCGAUCGGUAGGGGUUCUGAGAGGAAGGUCCCCCACACUGGAACUGAGACACGGUCCAGACUCCUACGGGAGGCAGCAGUGAGGAAUAUUGGUCAAUGGGCGAGAGCCUGAACCAGCCAAGUAGCGUGCAGGAUGACGGCCCUCCGGGUUGUAAACUGCUUUUAGUUGGGAAUAAAAAAAGGGACUUGUCCCUUCUUGUAUGUACCUUCAGAAAAAGGACCGGCUAAUUCCGUGCCAGCAGCCGCGGUAAUACGGAAGGUCCAGGCGUUAUCCGGAUUUAUUGGGUUUAAAGGGAGCGUAGGCGGAUUGUUAAGUCAGCGGUUAAAGGGUGUGGCUCAACCAUGCAUUGCCGUUGAAACUGGCGAUCUUGAGUGCAGACAGGGAUGCCGGAAUUCGUGGUGUAGCGGUGAAAUGCUUAGAUAUCACGAAGAACUCCGAUCGCGAAGGCAGGUGUCCGGGCUGCAACUGACGCUGAGGCUCGAAAGUGUGGGUAUCAAACAGG